AGAACAAAUAUAUGCCCGUGAUUAAAUUAGCUAUUUGUGAAAAUAUAUAAAAAUAAAAUAUGCAGGAUUAUAGUAGUAUCCAAUGAAAUCGCUUUUAGGAGUGACGUCAAUACGUCAAUUCGGCGAUCGCGGCAGUUUUGCAACGCAGAAUGUUCUAGAUCUUUUUUCCGUGAACUUGAGAUGGGAGCACAUGUCCAUCGCUGCUCCUGGAGAUUCAGUGCUUCAGAAGUGAAUAUGAAAAGACGAUAGAGAGAAAAAGAGCACGUUGACAGUGUAUCUUCAUUUACCAUCUGGAUUUCCCUACAUCAUAUGUACAUUUGAACGAGUUUCCUGGCUGCUGAUUGUGGUCCACUGUGGAUGCAAAUUGAGUGAAGUGUGAACCCUUUCUGGACUGGCGUUGGACUGGCGAGCCGCCUGCUAACCGGACCCUUUGAGCAUUCCUGUUUUAAAAGAACAUAGAAAUUGAACGUAUUCAA